rnacentral:tRNA from 1 species
UACAAGCGGUGUUAGGGCACAAAGAAUUUUGAUUUCUUAAGAGAGGUUCAUACACACCUCCUAGUAAG